ACUGGCCCCUGGGAUUUGCUGCUCAGUUCACUGAGACAUCAGGAGCAAGCACUGGAGGCCGGUGCUGCUGGACCCAGAUGGGAGCCAUGCAGGACUUGACCAUGGCCUGCAUACACUUCUUCCCAGGAGAAGGGGAAUGAGGAAGGCAGACUGGCAUCACAGGACAUUUUAGAGCAUUACUGUACACCCUGGUGACUGAGGUCCAUUAUCAAGUGUGCAGCGGUGCUGAGGUCCAGGGACAGGAAGCAGAAGGGCGGGUUCCAGCCCGCUCAGCUGGCCAUGAACUGGACGAUGAAUUUUAACCUCCACACCACAAGCACUGGGGUAGAAGACUGCUGCUGGGUGAAGAAGAGACUAGACUUGAUCAUUGAGCAGCCACUCACUGAUAUCUUCAGUGCUGCAUGAGGAAGCAGAGUUUAUUCUUCUGGAUUUGGUGGUGGAUUCUGGUGAAGAUACAGAUGGAUGCUCUGGCUGAGUCGCUACCUUGAAAUGAAAAUGGGAGGACUGGCCCCUGGGAUUUGCUGCUCAGGACCUGAGUUCACUGAGACAUCAGGAGCAAGCACUGGAGGCUGGGUGCUGCUGGACCCAGAUGGGAGCCAUGCAGGACUUGACCAUGGCCUGCACACACUUCUUCCCAGGAGAAGGGGAAUGAGGAAGAACUAGAUCCUAAGAGCAGAAGACAAUCAUAUGUCCUGAGAACCCAUUGGAGGUUGAACAGCGCUGGGUGGAUGGAGAAAGGCAGAAAUGCAGAAUUUCGUCAUUGCCUGGAUGCUGACUUUAUCCAAAGAGAAGAUGCAUGAGGAGUGUACAUGCCUCAGAACUGGAUGCUGAGACAUGCCCCCGCGAUCCCAAGACCACCAGGUACCGUGAGCAAUCACUGGAGCUGGAACACUGCUGCCUGAGGAAGAGAAGAAGUGCAGGCUUGUCAUUGUCUAUGCUGUUACUUGUGGUUCCCGGGUCUUCAGAGAGGAUGCACAAGAACGGGAGAACCGGCCCCUGGGAUUUGCUGCUCAGGACCCGAGUUCACUGAGACAUCAGGAGCAAGCACUGGAGGCCGGUGCUGCUGGAUCCAGAUGGGAGCCAUGCAGGACUUGACCAUGGCCUGCACACACUUCUUCCCAGGAGAAGGGGAAUGAGGAAGGCAGACUGGCAUCACAGGACCCUUCAGAGUAUUAAUGCAGACCUUCGUGACAGAGGUCCAGUACCAAGUGCUCAGCGGUGCUAAGGUCCAGGGACAGGAGGCAGAAGGGCGGGUUCCAGCCCGCUCAGCUGGCCAUGGUAAAAUACUAGCUGGUGUCCUAGGGCAGCAAGGCGCCUCCCUCUCCAGGUUAUGAAAACAUUGCAGUCUGAGUUUCUGUUGGGACCUGAGAAGAAGUCAAGGAAGCCCUGCAAGGCACUCACAGCUGCUCCUGCUGUCUGUAAUCGGCCGCCAUCUUCCUUCAUUCUCUGGUGACUGAGGUCCAGGAACAGGAAGCAGAGGGGCAGGUUCCACCCCGCUCAGCUGGCCAUGGAAUCAUGAGCAGGAGGAGAGUGGCGCUGUGAGUUUUGAAACCGUGUCCUCAUGGUGGCAGUAGAGCUCCAAACAAGAGCUUAACCGGCCCCUGGGAUUUGCUGCUCAGGACCCGAGUUCAGUGAGACAUCAGGAGCAAGCACUGGAGGCCGGUGCUGCUGGACCCAGAUGGGAGCCAUGCAGGACUUGACCAUGGCCUGCACACACUUCUUCCCAGGAGAAGGGGAAUGAGGAAGAACUGGACCAGAAGAUUUAACUUCCAUACCACAAGCACUGGGGUAGAAGACUGCUGCUGGGUGAAGAAGAGACUAGACUUGAUCAUUGAGCAGCCACUCACUGAUAUCUUCAGUGCUGCAUGAGGAAGCAGAGUUUAUUCUUCUGGAUUUGGUGGUGGAUUCUGGUGAAGAUACAGAUGGAUGCUCUGGCUGAGUCGCUACCUUGAAAUGAAAAUGGGAGGACUGGCCCCUGGGAUUUUCUGCUCAGGACCCGAGUUCACUGAGACAUCAGGAGCAAGCACUGGAGGCCGGUGCUGCUGGACCCAGAUGGGCGCCAUGCAGGACUUGACCAUGGCCUGCACACACUUCUUCCCAGGAGAAGGGG
rnacentral:lncRNA from 1 species